AAAGAGUUAAUUAAUUAUAAAAGUUAUUGUGGCAAAAUUAUUUUAAAUAAUUAAUUAGAAAUGAAAUGUUAAUCUGUUUUUAAAUAUAUCUAGUUUUUCUAGAAAAAAAUUUAAUUUUAAACUUUUUUAAAAAUAAAUUAAUUAAUUAAUUUAUUUUUAAAAGAAAAAGUUUUAUAUUUUAAGGGAUAAGCUUUAAAUUAAAUAGUUAUAAUGAUUUUUUUUUGUUGAAAAUUUUAUGAUUUAAAUUAUCAAUAAAAUUUAAUUUAUUAUAAAUAAUUUCAUUUUAAUAAAAAUUUAAUUAAAAUUUAAUUUUUUAUGGGGGAAAAAAUUAAAAUAAAUAAAAUUUAGUUAUUAUGAUAAAAUUAGUAUAGUUUAAAAUUAUAAAAAAUAUUUAUUAAUUUAAAUUAAUUAAUAAAAAGGAAUUCGGCAAAUAUAUAUAUUCACUUGUUUAACAAAAACAUGUCUUUUUGAAUUUAAUUUAAAGUCUAAUCUGCCCACUGAUAAAUUAUUAAAGGGCUGCAGUAUAUUGACUGUACAAAGGUAGCAUAAUCAUUAGUCAUUUAAUUGAUGACUUGUAUGAAAGAUUGGAUGAAAUAUAAACUGUCUCUUUAUUAAUUUAUAGAAUUUAAUUUUUUAAUCAAAAAGUUAAAAUAAUUUAAAAAGACGAGAAGACCCUAUAGAGUUUUAUAGGUGAUUUUAUUUAUAAAUGUUUAUAAAUAAAAAGUUUAAAUAAAAUUUUUUAUUUUAUUGGGGUGAUAAAAAAAUAUGUUGAACUUUUUUUAAUAUUAAACAUAAAUAAGUGAAAUAUUGAUCCAGUUUUAUUGAUUAUAAGAAAAAAUUACCUUAGGGAUAACAGCGUAAUUUUUUUUUUUAGUUCAUAUAAGAAAAAAAGUUUGCGACCUCGAUGUUGGAUUAAGAUAAAAUUUAAAUGCAAAAGUUUAAAAUUUUG
rnacentral:rRNA from 1 species